AUGUAGAACAAUCUGUCAUUUAGUAGAAAUAAAUGAGUCUAAAAAAUGAUUGCUAGAUAGUUUUCCUUUUGAAUCAUGGAUCUUGU
rnacentral:pre_miRNA from 1 species